rnacentral:rRNA from 1 species
ACGAACGCUGGCGACGUGCUUCACACAUGCAAGUCGAACGGAAAGGCCCUGCUUUUGUGGGGUGCUCGAGUGGCGAACGGGUGAGUAACACGUGAGUAACCUGCCCUUGACUUUGGGAUAACUUCAGGAAACUGGGGCUAAUACCGGAUAGGAGCUCCUGCUGCAUGGUGGGGGUUGGAAAGUUUCGGCGGUUGGGGAUGGACUCGCGGCUUAUCAGCUUGUUGGUGGGGUAGUGGCUUACCAAGGCUUUGACGGGUAGCCGGCCUGAGAGGGUGACCGGCCACAUUGGGACUGAGAUACGGCCCAGACUCCUACGGGAGGCAGCAGUGGGGAAUAUUGCACAAUGGGCGGAAGCCUGAUGCAGCAACGCCGCGUGCGGGAUGACGGCCUUCGGGUUGUAAACCGCUUUCGCCUGUGACGAAGCGUGAGUGACGGUAAUGGGUAAAGAAGCACCGGCUAACUACGUG